GGGGGUGUAGCUCAGUUGGAAGAGCAUCGCGUUUGCAACGCGAAGGUCACGGGUUCGAGCCCCGUCGCCUCCACCA
rnacentral:tRNA from 1 species